GCAAAGUGGAGGUGGGAUCUGAGAGGUGCCAGCAGAUGUGAGCUGCUGCCAGCAUCCAGGCAGCUGCCAAAUGUGGCCCUGCAGGGCUUGGCUGCACUGCUGCCUCUCGGGGGGAGGUGAGCUUUUGAGCAAAAUCCCAGGCGUUUCGGGUUUUUUUUUCACUGUGCUCAACCACUACAGCUCUCAUCCUCCGCCCUGAGGCAGCUGUGCUGUGUAGUUCAGUGUGUCAAAAAGUUAAAGCUUCCAGCUGCCCUUGGAGAGGAUCAGCGAGCUCCAGGGGCUCGGAGAGAUUUCGGAGCAGCCGAUGAGUGCAGGGAGGACCAAAACCAUCCGAUGUGUCAGGCGCAGCCUGAGCUGCCUCUGGCCUGCUGCCACCCCUACCAAAACAAAGGUUUGGAGCACAACAUCCAAGGGGACGGGAGCUGAAAAGCCAAAUUAGAAGUGUGGGUGCCAUGAUAGCAAUGCCUUUGGCUCCACCAAAACCCUGUGUCCAGGUUCCCUCAGUGCUGGGAAUGGUGCUCUCAGUCCACCUUUUCGCUCUGGCUGUUCCCUGGGCAUGGAGGGGCUCGAGGUGGCUGGAGAGGGAGUGCAAGAAGCUGCACCCAUCCCCACAGUGGGCUGCAGUGGGAAGAGGUGCGGCCGCAAGAAAAAUUAACUUCCCUUGUGCUUCAUCUUGGCUGGGGAUUUGAGUCCUUGGUGGCUUAUUUUAACAGCCGGUUGUUAGUCACUUGUUAGUCAAAUACCCUUUUGCUAUUUGGUCCUUUUGAAACUGCUGUAUGUGAAAUUGUUAAAUUAUUUUUUUUCCUACCCCUUAGAUCGUGUGGGAUGCCGGUUGCCAGAAGCUAAUGUUCAUGGUGAUGUGCCUGUGCCUGGUACCCUGGGCAGCCUGAGGAGCUGCUAUUACUGACACCGCGAUUGCUAGUUCCUGCCAAGGCGACCGAAACCCUCAGCCAGGCUCCGGGCAGGAGCGAUCCGGCAGGGCUGCCUCGCCAGGGGAUGCUCCCGCAGCCAUCGCCACCUCUUCUCCCCUCCCAGAGCCGCGCAGGCGUGCCGGGCUGGAGAACUCGUUGCUUUUUUCCUUCAAAGGACAGGCACGAUUGCCUCAAUAUUUGCAGAAAAUGCUGUUGACUAUUGCAAAGGGAAAAGUUAAAGGCUGGGAGCGGUGCAGGGAGCUGACAGCGAGCGGGGAACACGCAGCCUGCGCAACUUCGGCUGCCGCUAGACAUGGCAUCCCUGUGCCUACUUAAUCAACAUUUGCUUUCGGCUUGUGCUGGACCAGCAACACUGAGGAAAAAUAAAUUCCUUGGGAUAAAAGCAGCUCUCCACCGCGGUGUUAGAAGCACAAAGGUGUCAGCAGCAUGACAUAGAUGAGAUUUGUUUAACACUCCUCUGAGCCUUUUAAACCACAAAUUAAUGAACUUGAGACCGACGCAAUAUUGACGGACAAGAUACCUGGCUAGAAAGACUGAGCUGGGACCACCAAAAUAGCUUGGAGAGGGAAGAGAAAACCCAGCCGAUGGGAGAAACAGGCUCUGUGUACAGAAGGUGCAGGAUGCUGCAUCUCCCCCCAGGCCCCGCCGCACAUCGCCUCUCCAGGCUCGAACCACUGGAGCACGGCCAGGUACCACAGCAGGACCCGGUGCCAGGACCGGGAGGGCUGGAGCAAACUUGUGUUGGUGUCACCGCAUCCAAAGCUUUCCUCAGCUGGGAAGGACGCUGCUGGCUCACCGCGACCCAGAGAGGCACCAGAGAGAAGCGCCGACGGCCAGAAUUAAGGGUAAAAGGGAGUAAAAUCCCCCAGGGACAGGGAUGGACAUCUCAGUGCGUGCCGCUUCGGCCGUGCCCCCAGCCGCUUUUGCCCUCCCUGCCCCAACGUCUUGACAUGCAGAGAAAAGCCGGGCUGAAGGGACGAUUUCACGGAGAUUAACCUCGCGCGCUGCGCUGGGGCUGCUGCUGCCCUCGACACCGGGUCCCCCGUGUAUCAAAGGCGGAUUACAGAUAUAUUAGCCCCACCACCGGUUUUAUUAGCAGUGGUUUAUCAUGUGGAGGCGGGAUGGCCAAGGGCAGGGGACGAGGGAGCCUGGUCACCCUCUGAGAACCCGCAGCGUCACCAGAGAAGUUUUAAUUGAAUAUUUGGGAGGGGACCCAGGCUGGGGUCUGCGCUUGCUGCUUGGCCCCGGUACAGCCCACGUCCCCAAGAUUUGUGGUGCUGAUGGGCAAUGCCAGCAGUGCCCACGGUGAGGGAGAGGGGAAGCCUUCGGCCUCACCGCAGGGAAGGCUGCCCCUCUGUGCCACCCCAAGCUGGGUUAGAGAGAUUUGAUUCAAAACAAACUCUCUUUUGGGAGGCGCUCGGAUGGCUCCUGCAGGGGGUGAAGAUGCUGGUUGUGUCCUGACCGGGCGCGUCCCUCCCCAUCCUGCACAAAAUCUCCCCAAGGCUGGAGGAAUUGGCCUCCUCAGCCCCAAAUCCCAAGCAUCCUGGUGCGGCACUGGGGUACCCAGCCUCAGGCAGAUGCUGGGAUGCCUGGCAUCGAUGCGUCGAGGCACGUCGGUGCUGGCAGGGUGGGGGGGGUUGAGCCUG